GACGAACGCUGGCGGCGUGCCUAAUACAUGCAAGUAGAACGCACAGUUUAUACCGUAGCUUGCUACACCAUAGACUGUGAGUUGCGAACGGGUGAGUAACGCGUAGGUAACCUGCCUGGUAGCGGGGGAUAACUAUUGGAAACGAUAGCUAAUACCGCAUAAUAUUAAUUAUUGCAUGAUAAUUAAUUGAAAGGUGCAAUUGCACCACUACCAGAUGGACCUGCGUUGUAUUAGCUAGUAGGUGAGGUAACGGCUCACCUAGGCGACGAUACAUAGCCGACCUGAGAGGGUGAUCGGCCACACUGGGACUGAGACACGGCCCAGACUCCUACGGGAGGCAGCAGUAGGGAAUCUUCGGCAAUGGACGAAAGUCUGACCGAGCAACGCCGCGUGAGUGAAGAAGGUUUUCGGAUCGUAAAGCUCUGUUGUAAGAGAAGAACGGGUGUGAGAGUGGAAAGUUCACACUGUAACGGUAUCUUACCAGAAAGGGACGGCUAACUACGUG
rnacentral:rRNA from 1 species